ACACACAUCCAUAAUGAGGGACUGCCUGUUCCAGGGAGGUUUUAUUACAAAAGAAAGUGCACAAGUAUAUUAGGAAGAGGGGGGAAAACAGAGAAGUCUAUUUUUUUUGGCAAAGCCUUGUAUUAUAGAUCUCAUUUCUCUGGUUGCAGCUGCCUUUAGGCACCCAUUUCAGUGAGCUGCUCUGUUCUGCUUAACUGUAGAUGCUUCCCAAAUUUCCUCUUUGGUGAAACAAGCAUUUGUGCAGGUUCCCCAUAAAAAUGACUGAUUUGGGUUUUACCAGGAGCUCUGGCACUUCUCCACUACAAGAAAGAAUUGCAUUUAUAGAGAGGUUUAUCAAGAUGGGAAUAGUGAAACAAACAUUUUAAAUGUCCAGCAGAAUCCUCUGUCUUCCCCCAAACAAGCCUCCCUGGGCAGGAAUUUCAGCCAUUCUGGAAUGAAAGCCUCCUGGAAGGAACCUGCUUCCCUGUGGGACUGCCCAGCUUUCAGCCCUGCUGCUGGGGGAAGAGUUCACCACAGGGCUCCUCAUGUAUCUGCUCUGGUUUGGAACUGAGUGUGCCAUGAAAUGUAGGAUUGCUGGAGCCAGUGGGGCUGGAGCAGGUGCUGAUGUUGGCCAGGCUGGUGGGACCCCAGGAGGAGAACCCUGAGCCAAUUCCCUUGCUGUCCCACAGGCAGCAGUGAAGUGGCACCAGGAUUGCAAUGAGCCUGUGAAAUAAAGAUUAAUCCUUCCCCACACCAAGAACCGCCCGUGCCUGAGACACCCUGGAACUCCACACUUCAUUUCCAGGUCUGCUUGGGCAAGGAAGAUGUGUGGGUUCUUCUGGCUGGAAAAAUUUUGUGCAGUUUUGCUCUGGAGAAGCUGAAUUUCAGUCUGAGAGUCCUUGCAGUCAAAGGACAGCAUUGCUGUGCAAUGGCUAGAGCUGGGAAUGGAUGUUUUUGUCCCAGUGUUUGGGUGUGCUGUGACUCACCUGGUGCUGCUGUGGGAUAUUCAUUGGGAUAUUCAGCGCUGCUUUUGGAUAAACUCCCUGAUACAGUCUCUGGCCAGAUGAUGUUCAUGGGUGCCUCAUCUGCAGGCUACACCAAUAAGUUUCAGAGAGUGUCUUGAAGAUUGGAUUUGCCUCUGGAAUGGUUUUAAUCAAACUAUUUUUUCCUGUCACUUUUUGGACACUUUACAGCUUUCAGUGACUGCCUUGAACCAGGUCCAUAAGAACGUCUGACAAGCCAAAAACAGAUUAAUCUCAAGCCUCUGCUACAGUGACCACUUGGAUUUCUGUAUCACUUACUGCCUAAGUGGUUUACAAGCAAUUACAGCCAAAGCCUUCCAGAGGCUCUUGGAAGGAGCCUUGCCAUGGAGUUUUCAGAGGGAAGCAGAGCACGGGGAGGAUCAGCCCAGGUGGGCAGGACUGGGCAGCACCAGCCCUGCCAUGUGCACAGGGGAUGGUGCUUUAGGAGACUUGCCCGGGGGAAUUUGGGCACUAAAGGAGAAUCCAGGUUUCAGCCCUGUCCUGGGGUGCAAGCUGGGUUUAUUUGGGCUGGAGACCUGCUGCUGGCAGCCCUGUGUCUGUCCAGGUUGUGGAAGAACCGACAUGGACAGAAGAAGAGAAGAAGAGAAGCUGGAGUCGUUGCUCAGGUUCGUUGGGAGUGACAGAACCUAGUGCUGUGACAUCCAUGGCCUUUCCUGAGCUAUUGCCCUGUUGCUGUUGGACACAAAAUGAGUACACAGAAGCUCGUCACUUCGGGACAAGGCGCUUCACACUUUGCGUGGCUGGAAGAUGGCCAGGAAUGGGAUCCCCCACGUUCUCCUCCCAGUCUGAGAAGACAAGAAAAUAAACAAGGAAAAUGUCUGUGCUGAUGGCAUCUGUGGGCUCCCUCAUAAGGAAAAUUCAUGUCUCUCCAGGGACAAAAAGCAUCUUCGUGUCAAACCCAAGGGAUGUAAAAUCAGAGGUUCCCCCAGAGAGUGCCCAAGCAUCCCCUUAAUGGGUAUUGGAGUGGGAGAAAUUCCUCCUGGGAUGCUCCAGAGAUCAAACAUUGCAGCGGGUUUGGGGUGCUGUCCCAGGGAGUGGAACACUUCGGACCUCGGAGCUCUUGCUCUGGUGAAAAGCUGCAGACAAAACUCCCCAGCAAAUGUCUUCAUAAUACUUAACAUUCAAUGGAGCAAAAGGAGAAUAAUGAGCACUGCAGCCAUCCCAGCCACUGGAAUUCCACUGAAGACAGGGAUUCCUGGCAGCCUGGGCUCUGCCCUGGGUGUUUCAGUGCUGGAUCCGUGCUGGCAGCAGGCAGGAGCAUCACAGCACUCACAGGAGCAGCUCCGUGUGCUCUGAAGGAAGUGCUGGUCAUCCUCAGCUCUUCCUGAUGUUACUUUGCACCAUUUUUAAGGAAAGUUUUGUUGGUUUGUCUGUCUGUGAAGGGUUUGUUUUUUUGGUUUUUUUUUUUGAGGAAAGGCUAAAAGUGAUGUUUUUUUAGCUCCCCUCUUUUUUAGGGGAGGUUCAGAUUGGGUAUGAGGGGAAAUUUCCUCAUGGAAAGGGUUAUCAGGCAUUGGAACAGGGCAGUUGUGGAGUCACCUUCCUUGGGAGUGUUUUAAAAAACCUGAAGGUGGGACCUGAGGAUGUUGUUUGGUGGUGAGGGUGGUGCUGCUGGGCUGGUGGUUGGACCGAUGAGUGAUGGUUUUUUAUCUCUGUCUGCAGCUGAGUGUCAGCAGAGCUGAGCAUGAAGAAGUGCAGUGCAGGACAAGGAGAGGGGUGGCUGUGGGGAUGGGAUUGUGGCUCCUGCCUCUCUGGAAAGGGCGAGCAGAACAAUUACCCAUCCUUUUUUAGGAAUUGGAAGCCUGCUCCUUGCAUUUCCCUUGAGCUGCAGGGAAGGGAAGGAGGAGGAGACCGCAGUUAUUUCACAGCUCUGACCCUUUUGCCUCCCAGACUUCAAACACGAUCAGACUGGAGAGGGAAAGGAGGAGGCUGCAGAGCCAGGAGGAGCAGCAGGGGCACCCUCAGCACUGGAAUUUCUCAGAGCAGGAAGGUGUGAUGGUUUAAUCCUGAACCACAGGCAGGGGUGAGACAUUCCCUGGCCCUGCUCUCAGCCUUGGCUUUGCCUCCCUAAAACCAGCCCUACCCCAGCAGCAUCCUCGUGCCAGCAGGGAUUGUGCCUGUGCUGACAUUUAGGGAUAUUGGAGCAGGUUGCUCUGGAUUGGAUUGGGAGAAUUAAAAAUAUUGAAUUGGACAGUAAAUAAAAGAAGAGAGGUCACUGCCAUCCAGCACUCCUUUAUUUCUGGUUAUUUAAUGAGGCAGUUCCAUAUUGAGUGCUUUAGUGCUGAGUUCAAAAUUCCCUUCUGAGCCCCUGGGAGCAGAACUUGGCCGUGCCCCCAGAGCCUCUGCCCUGGUGGGUGUCAAGAUGGAAAUGCAGCAGGGACUGAUGUUGUGCAUGGCAUCCAGCCAGCCCUGUGUCACCUCUCCCCCAGUGGGUGUGUCCUGUCCUGUUCCUCAAGGUGUUAAAAUUUCAUUAUUUUAAUCCAGAUUUUAAUAGGAACCCCCCAUAAUAUUGUGCCCCCUUCUUGCAGGUGUGUCUCUGCUGUAAAUUCCUGCUUUUUCUGAUGUUCCUCCCUGCUUCAGCCAGCAAGAACAAACAGAGAGGAUAAUUUUACAUAUUAUUUCUCUUAUUUACAGUAAAAACAACACCCUGCUUGUCGUUAUUAAUUAGAUAUUUUACUAGGCUUGAGAUGGUGAGAUUAAAGCAAACCUUGAGCUGAUGGGAGGGCACUUUUGGUAGCCACAGAUGGGCCCAGAGCUGGUGGCACAGUUGGUGCCCCAGAGCAGGAGCUGACCUGUGUCCAAACCCCUCCUGCAUCCAGGGCUGUGAGCAGUGGAAACAGACUGCUAAAGGAUGCAUUUGUAG